AUGGGCCCAGUGAACACAGGCCUGCCUGCUGACAGGAGAGGUUCCGGCCCUGCAGGAACCACCGCACCAACACAGUACACUCACAGAGAGCCGGAGGAACCAGCUCAACAACAUGGUACAGUCCCAGAGAGAGGGAUCAAUUCAUUAACAUACUACCACAACACACAAACAGAGGCGUGCUUUCAGCAGCUCUACAAACACAUAGAGCUGAGUGGAACCUUGUUUUACCAGUUUUCUAUGUCUAGGUCCGUUUGCUUGGUUCACUCUGGGUUUUUAAAUUCGGUUUUACCUUGGAUUUCUCUUCGUUUCUCCCUAUUUCUGAUCACUUACCAUGGACUUAAAAAGAGCUGCUUCAAUGAUACAUUUUUCUCAAAGACAAUACAGGUAUGAGAGCAGCGAUGUUCCAGCAGACGGUCACGCUACAGCUCCGCUAAAGCUACCAGCUUCUCCCAGGGGGACUGGGAGAGGGAGGACAAGGAGAGAGGGGUGUGUGCGUGAGUGCAAGGCGAGGUGCAUGAGGUACCUUUACUGUGCAUGCCCACAGAAAUGCCAGAGCCCCAGGGAUCAUUAAAGAUGCUCAGAUAGGAGGUGGACAUGAAGCAGAUGCUCCCAGUGUGAAAGACCAGCAGCAAUCAUAACAGCGUGCACCACCAUAGGCUCUGGCUGAAUUGGAGAAGAAAACAGAUCGUAAUCAUAUAACGACAGUGUGCGACUCUGGUGGCUCAUUUUUGGUGUGUUUUGGCAUGGUGACUAAGAAGAAGCCUAAGCAGUUGGUGAGGCCAAAACCAUAGCACUCAUGGAAAUCACAGAGGCAGUUCCGUGUAUUUAAUCUGCUCUAUCUCAAAGUGAAUAUCUCAUUUGUAGGCUAAUCUUCAAUCGUCAUAAAAUCGUGACUGACACGAUAAUUCAACUGUGGAAGGAUGGAUUUGUGUGUAUUUAGUAUUUAUGAGAAAUAAGUCAAUAAAACAUUAGCCUCUACCAGUUGAUGUUUUGCACAAUUAUUGCAAAUCCUACCGAUUAAGAGUAUCGAAAUACCGAAUUAGAUGGCUCUUAUUAAGAUUGCCACAUCAGAUUAGCAUUAUUUGGCAGUAUAAGCCUUAAAGACUGAAUGUAUUACUGAACCAGUAAGACGCUG
rnacentral:lncRNA from 13 species